rnacentral:rRNA from 1 species
GCCUGUGGCCGGUUGGCCUCUAGGCAAUGUGGUGUUCAGGUUAGCUCGCGGAGGUGCUGCUCCACCCUAAGUCCUAUUAUGAGUAAGGUUACUCGGACGUGGCCCAGUGAGGGUGAAAGGCCCGUGGGGGUGGAGACUCAGAUUGGACAGUAUCUCCCUGAGCAGACCUUGGAGUCGGGUUGUUUGUGAAUGCAGCCCAAAGUGGGUGGUAAACUCCAUCCAAGGCUAAAUACUUGCACGAGUCCGAUAGCGAACAAGUACCGUGAGGGAAAGUUGAAAAGUACUUUGAAGAGAGAGUAAACAGUGCGUGAAACCGUUCAGAGGUAAACAGGUGGAGUUGAACUGCAAGCUCUGAGGAUUCAGCUGGUGAGAUUGGCAUGAUCUUGGUCAUGUGGGUUGUGUUAUCGGGUCUGCUUAGCUGCAGGUCCCCGCUUCGGCGGGGGUGCGCGAAUCACUUAUCAAGUGUUGUGCGCCCGGUUAAUGACGAGCCCGCUCGCCAGUGCACUUUCUCAGAGUGUUCACCACGACCGGCGUUGCCGUCUGGCUGUUGCGGUUAAACCGGCCUGGUAGGGUCCUUGUGGCUCUGCUAGGUCGGGAUGGCAGGUAGCCUGUUGUACAAUUUAUUGUGCUCCGGGUGUAAUAGCCGACUGCUUCGGUUCUGUGCGGUGCGUCGGAGACGGCGGCUUGUUGUGCUUGCAGGCGUGCCUGCUGUGCUGGCGGCUCUGAGUCUGGUUGCCUUGUUGCUUGUGAAUACAAGCCAGGUGAUGGCUUGGUGUCGUUUGGUCGGCGGUUGCGUUUGUUGCACUUUAAAAGGGCCCAUAGUCUGUGGUGUAGUGGUAGACUAUCCACCUGACCCGUCUUGAAACACGGACCAAGGAGAGUAACAUGUGCGCGAGUCAUUGGGCGUUACGAAACCCAAAGGCGCAGUGAAAGUAAAGGCUUGGCUUGUCUGAGCUGAGGUGAGAUCCUGUCGUUUCUCAUGCGCGGUACUACCAAGCUUCGAGCGGCAGGCGCAUCACCGGCCCGUCCCAUGGCGUGGAGGCAGCCUCGUGCUUGCUCAUCGUCGGGGCGGAGCAUGAGCGUACAUGUUGAGACCCGAAAGAUGGUGAACUAUGCUUGCGCAGGUUGAAGCCAGAGGAAACUCUGGUGGAGGACAGCGGCGAUUCUGACGUGCAAAUCGAUCGUCAAACGUGAGUAUA